rnacentral:rRNA from 1 species
GACAGAGGUGCCGAGCGUUAGGCGAAAUCACUGGGCUUAAAGCGCGUGUAGGCGGGUCCGUAAGUGCCUUGUGAAAUCCCACGGCUCAACCGUGGAACUGCUGGGCAUACUGCGGGUCUUGGGCCAUCUAGGGGCGAGCGGAACAAGCGGUGGAGCGGUGAAAUGCGUAGAUAUCGCUUGGAACGCCAAUGGUGAAAACAGCUCGCUGGGGAUGUGCCGACGCUGAGACGCGAAAGCCAGGGGAGCGAACGGG